UACGUAGGGUCCGAGCGUUGUCCGGAUUGACUGGGCGUAAAGCGCACGCAGGCGGCCGUGCACGUGGGGUGUGAAAGCGCUCGGCUCAACUGAGCGAUGCCACCUCAUACGGCGCGGCUCGAGCCCGUGAGAGGUCCAUGGAAUUGACCUGGUGGUAGUGGUGAAAUGCGUAGAGAUCGGCAGGAACACCCAGGGGGAAACCAGUGGACUGGCACGGAGCUGACGCUCAGGUGCGAAAGCGUGGGGAGCGAACCGG
rnacentral:rRNA from 1 species